rnacentral:piRNA from 1 species
ACAGAGCUACAUACCACGUUUGUUUCAAAUA